ACGACAAUGGAGAGCUUUUUUAAUGGUACAAUGCAUUUCACCUACCAGAUAGGGGGAGUCUAAGCUGAAAGAUGCGAAUGUCUUGUGAUGUUGGGUGAUCAGUAUCAAUGAACAGGGUGAUUCUGAAAAGAGACAGAUUAAAAUAAAGCACUCUUUGCCUGGGAUACGUUGGGAACAGUUAGAAAGGCUAACCGGAGUGGGCAACGGUAAGACUUCGGAGCUGUGCUUUUCCCCCUCAGCCCAAGAAAAUGAUCAAGUCAAUCAUGUGGACAUGCUUCAUUAUUCAUUGAACACAAUCUUUUACAACGCUCCGUUUACGUGCUGGAGUUUCUCCCUACGCUUUGCUCUAAAUGUUGAAGUGAAAAUCGCGGCGAUCUGCAUGAUUUAAAACGGUUCAAACAUAUUCCAAAGUAAGUGACCUGCAUAAGUACAUCAAUAGGUUAAGUGCAA
rnacentral:lncRNA from 1 species